GUCUAUGGCCAUACAACCCUGAACGCAGCCAAUCUCAUCUGAUCUCAGAAGCUAAGCAGGGCCAGGCCUGGUUAGUACUUGGAUAGUAGAAAUUAUAUCUUUGAAAUGGACAACCGAAGUAU
rnacentral:rRNA from 1 species